rnacentral:rRNA from 1 species
CCUACGGGUGGCAGCAGUGAGGAAUAUUGGUCAAUGGACGAGAGUCUGAACCAGCCAAGCAGCGUGAAGGAUGACUGCCCUAUGGGUUGUAAACUUCUUUUAUAUGGGAAUAAAAUGUUCCACGUGUGGGCUUUUGUAUGUACCUUAUGAAUAAGGAUCGGCUAACUCCGUGCCAGCAGCCGCGGUAAUACGGAGGAUCCGAGCGUUAUCCGGAUUUAUUGGGUUUAAAGGGAGCGUAGGUGGAUUGUUAAGUCAGUUGUGAAAGUUUGCGGCUCAACCGUAAAAUUGCAGUUGAAACUGGCAGUCUUGAGUACAGUAGAGGUGGGCGGAAUUCGUGGUGUAGCGGUGAAAUGCUUAGAUAUCACGAAGAACUCCGAUUGCGAAGGCAGCUCACUGGACUGAAACUGACACUGAGGCGCGAAAGUGUGGGUAUCAAACAGGAUUAGAUACCCCAGUAGUC